UACGAAGGGGGCUAGCGUUGUUCGGAAUUACUGGGCGUAAAGGGUUUGUAGGCGGCUAUAUAAGUCAGUGGUGAAAGCCUGGGGCUCAACCUCAGAAUUGCCAUUGAAACUGUAUAGCUAGAGUAUGUUAGAGGAAAGUGGAAUGGCUAGUGUAGGAGUGAAAUCCGUAGAGAUUAGUCGGAAUAUCGAUGGCGAAGGCAGCUUUCUGGGACAUUACUGACGCUGAGAAACGAAAGCGUGGGUAGUAAACAGG
rnacentral:rRNA from 1 species